rnacentral:rRNA from 1 species
GAUGAACGCUGGCGGCGUGCCUAAUACAUGCAAGUCGAGCGAACGGACGAGAAGCUUGCUUCACUGAUGUUAGCGGCGGACGGGUGAGUAACACGUGGAUAACCUACCUAUAAGACUGGGCUAACUUCGGGAAACCGGAGCUAAUACCGGAUAAUAUUUUGAACUGCAUGGUUCAAAAGUGAAUGACGGUCUUGCUGUCACUUAUAGACGGAUCCGCGCUGCAUUAGCUAGUUGGUAAGGUAACGGCUUACCAAGGCAACGAUGCAUAGCCGAGCUGAGAGGGGGUAGGGCCACAGGGGAACUGAGACACGGUCCAGGCUCCUAGGGGAGGCAGCAGUUGGGAAUCUUCCGCGAUGGGCGGAAGCCUGACGGAGCAGCGCCGCGUGGGUGAUGAAGGGCUUCGGAUCGUAUAACGCUGUUAUUGGGGAAGAACAUAUGUGUAAGUAACUGUGCACAUCUUGACGGUACCUAAUCAGAAAGCCACGGCUAACUACGUG